rnacentral:rRNA from 1 species
GAUGAACGCUGGCGGCGUGCCUAAUACAUGCAGGUCGAGCGAACAGACGAGGAGCUUGCUCCUCUGACGUUAGCGGCGGACGGGUGAGUAACACGUGGAUAACCUACCUAUAAGACUGGGAUAACUUCGGGAAACCGGAGCUAAUACCGGAUAAUAUAUUGAACCGCAUGGUUCAAUAGUGAAAGACGGUUUUGCUGUCACUUAUAGAUGGAUCCGCGCCGCAUUAGCUAGUUGGUAAGGUAACGGCUUACCAAGGCGACGAUGCGUAGCCGACCUGAGAGGGGGGUCGGCCACCCUGGAACUGAGACACGGUCCAGGCCCCUACGGGAGGCAGCCGUAGGGAAUCCUCCGCAAUUGGCGGAAGCCUGACGGAGCCACGCCGGGUGAGUGAUGAAGGUCUUCGGAUCGUAAAACUCUUUUAUUAGGGAAGAACAAAUGUGUAAGUAACUAUGCACGUCUUGACGGUACCUAAUCAGAAAGCCACGGCUAACUACGUG